rnacentral:tRNA from 1 species
CAGGGCGUGGCUGACUUAGUUAAGCAUCUCACUUACACCGAGAAGAAAUCCGUGCAAAUCGGACCACCCUGA